rnacentral:rRNA from 1 species
UACAGAGGUCCCAAGCGUUACUGAGAAUCACUGGGUUUAAAGGGUGCGUAGGUGGUCCGUUAAGUCAGUUGUGAAAUCCCCGGGCUCAACUCGGGAACUGCUUCUGAUACUGGCGGACUUGAGGCCAGUAGGGGUCACUAGAACUGACGGUGGAGCGGUGAAAUGCGUAGAUAUCGUCAGGAAUGCCGGUGGUGAAGACGGGUGACUGGGCUGGUUCUGACACUGAGACACGAAAGCCAGGGGAGCGAACGGG